rnacentral:lncRNA from 1 species
UUGGUUCUAUUAUGAGCAAGUAACAAUGUUAACUCAAGAAGGCAACAAGGCAUAUAGGAGAGACAAAACAUAAACCAUUAUGAGCAGAAGAAACAGGCAAGAAAUGGCUAAAGAGAGAUUGAACUUAUCUGGUGCAACCAUCAUUAUAUGCCUAGAAAGUAAAUAAGCAGCGCUACUUACCCAAGAAUCCAGGACAAGUCCACCACUAAAUGCAUCACAUGCGGCUAUUCACAAUCCUGGCUUAGCCAUAAGAAGCAUGCAAUUAUAAUAUGGAAUCCGCAGAGAAGAAGGCCUACCACCAUUUACUGGGCCAUAUGCCCCCCCUGUGAUCAGACCAGGAAAGAGAUUGCUUGGCCCUCUUUCAAUUUUUGGCUUUACUUCAUCUUAACAAAAGUACCAAUUACUAGCAGAGGAAGAAGGAAUCUCCAGCUAACCCACUCCAAAGAUCCAUCUCCAUCAAAACCGCUUUAGAUUUCUCACCUCGAACUGGAACCGGAAUCGGAACCUUUGCCAAAGUCCAAAUGAUUCCACCUAGAAUCCACACACAACCACUGGAAGAUACAAUAAUAGUGGGGAGGAGAACACUGUUACAUCUCCAGCAUGUGACCUGGACUCCCAAAAGAAAAGAGGUUAUGCUAAAACUUAGUCAGUAUAAAAUGAGGGAAAUUCAAUUCAUGACAAGGAAAGUAAAUUUUGGGUCAUGCGAGUAUAUGCUAACACAUAAUCAGUAAUCAGCGGCUCAGCUUUAUUGCAGUAUCGCGUCAAACAAUGAUUUUGACAAAAGGCAGAGACAGACUUCAUAGCUCAUAGCCAAACAUGGGACUAAGUCACAAGAUAAAGAGGAGAAUGCAUGGUCGCUGUCAAAUCCUCUGGUUUGAACUGCAAAAAUAGUGAUGAAGAGCUCAGCAGGAAAUGUUAAGCAAGUAACGGACUAAAGAUUGCACAGUUAAUGGCAAAAAAGAUGGUACCUUCGUACCACUAACUCUUAUGAAAUAUAUGCCUGUUCAAGUAUCAAACAUAAUCUUGCUCAAACUUUGCCAAAAACCCUUCAUGGCAGCUGUACGUACCACUUCUCACUGCAUUGAUUGCAGUAGACGCGAAAUUGCUUUCGUCAGCAUGUGGUCCUUCCUUUCCUCAAAUAUGUAACAGCUCAGGGAAAUAUAUGUGAUUUCCGAGGUGGUCCUCUUAUGCUAUAUAAUGUUAACAAAACAUCACUGAAGCUCACAAGCAAACUGGGAUAGUCGCAUUCAGGUCAAUUAUGAACAAAAUGGCAAAGCUCAUGUUUUCGUAUUCUCAUUGGCUACAACUUUGUAGCACUUGGAACCGCUACAGUUAAAUCAUAUGGCAUGUAGAGUGCAUGACAAAAAGGAUCAAGCAGAGAGAAAGAGGCUACUAUUCAAUAAAAUUGACAGGGCUAAUCUCGUCGACAAGGUAAUUUUUUAUCAUCAUGCAUUGAGAACAAGGCUUCAGAGCCACCUUAGAACCACGAAAUGUCGCUGCCAGGGAGUAUAAAUAGAGAAAAUGUUAUCACCAUGUAUUGAGAAUACAAGGGAUAGUGUUAUUAAAUGCUAUAACCAGGGAGGGGGCCUUCAGAGUUCUCAAGUGGCAUCGUAUCCAUCAAUGCUAAGAUGUUCAAGUCCAGACUUGUAUAGAAUGGCAUAGUACUGUACGAUUUCCAUCCUUAAUAAAUGAAAUGUGCAGCCUGAUGCCUUGAGAUCUCGACCAAGAUGCAGGAAAUGCAAGGUUAGAGUUGAAUUUUCAAAUUUAUUGUAGCAAGAGACUCAGGGAUAUAGCAACCAGAAAAAACUUGGUGAAAACAAUUACAUAAUGUUGUGUACUGAAAUCAUGUCUCAGGGAUAAUGGCCAUAAUAUGUUAUGAUUAUACAACUAGCAAAGGUAGCAGCAUAUCAAAACAUAACACAAAUGUUUAGAACACAAAUGGUAUAUCUAUUAUGAGCAAGUAACAAUGUUAACUCAAGAAGGCAACAAGACAUAUAGGAGAGACAAAACAUAAACCAUUAUGAGCAGAAGAAACAGGCAAGAAAUGGCUAAAGAGAGAUUGAACUUAUCCGGUGCAACCAUCAUUAUAUGCCUAGAAAGUAAAUAAGCAACGCUACUUACCCAAGAAUCCAGGACAAGUCCACUAAAUGCAUCACAUGCGGCUAUUUCAACUCCUUUAGUGAAGCUGAAAAAGGCAUUGCGGCAAACCUAACUUCCAUAAACCUGUUCAUCCUUUGUAAAGUGGCAAUAGUGAAGAUAAUCUAAACUUGCUUCAUUCAAGUCAAUAAGAAGGCUACUCUCAAGUUUUCAUUGAAAGUUCUUAUCUUGAACAUCAGAACAGUGACAAUAUGAACGGCGAGAACAUAUAAUAUGAAUAACUCAUCAGCAACAUCUUACGAUGCUUAUAUAUGUUCCCAUGAGACCUAAGUCUAGACGGUAAUAGUGUACAACCCCAGGCAGAAAACCUAAGCAACCAUAUAAGAAGCGGGCAAAGCACAAUCAUGGGGAAGAAUCCUCAACCUUGUAGAAUUACAAUGGAAGCGCAGACACUGCUAAAGACAAAUAGAUGCUAUGGGGCAAGAAAUAAGAACUGCACUAAAUAUGGAGGGAGUGACUGAACCAUGGUUUAGCUGUUACCAUACUACCUCUCUCUAAGAACCAAGCUUGCUACUUCCUGUAUGAAGAAUUAUGCUCCAUGGCCAGCAACCCCUCACCGAUCCAAUUACACAUUCCAACUUUCCAACACUUCUGCAAAUGAAAAGGAGCACAAACAGCUAAUCCCCAAGGAUACAGGAAACAAAGACCUUUCAAAAACUCCAAGUGUUGUAAAAGUCCUCCGAAAUCAGCAUCAGCAUACCACUGAAAAUUAUAUCCAGGGUCAAUAACAUUCUUUUCCCAACCCAAUUCUCCCAAGCUACAUAUUUCAGUUUGGUUCCCAGGCAGGGACUCCAAGGAAUGUUAUAGAGCAAUGCUAACAGAUACGUCAGAAAGUAGAUAGAAGGUUUUGGCCAGACAUUAAUUUCCUAACUCACAGACUUUAAUCUAACAUGAUAUGGAAUAAGAAUCAGAUCCUAGAACUACAAUAAUUAAAGGUUUAUACCAAUAAACAAAUCCAUGUCUAAGGAUCAACCUAUCAGUCCAACCGGAUUGGCAUUGACUUCUGUAAGUCUAAAGAUGAACCUCACAGCCCAACCAGCUUGGUCACCAACUUCUGUAAAUCGAUCCUUCUCCAUCACAGGAAAACAAUAACUGUGUCAUAAGAUUUUCCAUGUAUAUCGCAUUCAUAUGAAUGCAAUUCCUAGACUUGUUACCUUUCAAAAUAAAUCUAACCCCAACUAAGAUGCAUCAGCAAACAUAAUUCCAGAAUCAUUGAACUUGGUGAUACAAAAAUUCAACUAAC